GAUGAACGCUAGCGGCAGGCUUAAUACAUGCAAGUCGAGGGGCAGCAGGGGUGUAGCAAUACACUCGCUGGCGACCGGCAAACGGGUGCGGAACACGUACGCAACCUACCCAUAACUGGGGGAUAGCCCGGGGAAACCCGGAUUAAUACCUCGUAACAUAGAGAAGUGGCAUCACUUUUUAUUAUAGCUCCGGCGGUUAUGGAUGGGCGUGCGCCUGAUUAGGUAGUUGGCGGGGUAACGGCCCACCAAGCCUGCGAUCAGUAACUGGUGUGAGAGCACGACCAGUCACACGGGCACUGAGACACGGGCCCGGACUCCUACGGGAGGCAGCAGUAAGGAAUAUUGGUCAAUGGACGCAAGUCUGAACCAGCCAUGCCGCGU
rnacentral:rRNA from 1 species